rnacentral:rRNA from 1 species
CCUACGGGAGGCAGCAGUAGGGAAUCUUCCGCAAUGGACGAAAGUCUGACGGAGCAACGCCGCGUGAGUGAAGAAGGUUUUCGGAUCGUAAAACUCUGUUGUAAGGGAAGAACAAGUACGUUAGUAACUGAACGUACCUUGACGGUACCUUACCAGAAAGCCACGGCUAACUACGUGCCAGCAGCCGCGGUAACACGUAGGUGGCAAGCGUUAUCCGGAAUUAUUGGGCGUAAUGCGCGCGUAGGCGGUCUCUUAAGUCUGAUGGGAAAGCCCCCGGAUCGGCCGGGGAGGGUCGUUUGAAGCUGGGAGGCUUGAGUGCAGAAGAGGAGGGUGGAAUUCCAUGUGUAGCGGUGAAAUGCGAAGAGAUAUGGAGGAACACCAGUGGCGAAGGCGGCUCUCUGGUCUGUAGCUGACGCUGAGGUGCGAAAGCGUGGGGAUCAAACAGGAUUAGAUACCCCGGUAGUC